rnacentral:rRNA from 1 species
GAUGAACGCUGGCGGCGUGCCUAAUACAUGCAAGUCGAGCGAACAGACGAGGCGCUUGCUCCUCUGACGUUAGCGGCGGACGGGUGAGUAACACGUGGAUAACCUACCUAUAAGACUGGGAUAACUUCGGGAAACCGGAGCUCAUACCGGAUAAUAUAUUGAACCGCAUGGUUCAAUAGUGAAAGACGGUUUUGCUGUCACUUCUAGGUGGAUCCGCGCCGCAUUAGCUAGUUGGUAAGGUAACGGCUUACCAAGGCAACGAUGCGUAGCCGACCUGAGAGGGUGAUCGGCCACACGGGAACGGAGACACGGUCCAGAGGCCUAAGGGAGGCAGCAGUAGGGAAUCUUCCGCAAUGGGCGAAAGCCUGACGGAGCAACGCCGCGUGAAUGAUGAAGGUCUUCGGAUCGUAAAACUCUGUUAUUAGGGAAGAACAAAUGUGUAAGUAACUAUGCACGUCUUGACGGUACCUAAUCAGAAAGCCACGGCUAACUACGUG